rnacentral:rRNA from 1 species
GUCUAUGGCCAUGCCACCCUCAACACGCCCAAUCUCAUCUGAAAUCAGAAGUUAAGCAGAGUCGGGCCUGGUUAGUACUUGGAUGGGAGACCACCUAGGAAUACCAGGUGCUGUAGGUG